AGGAUUAACGCUGGCGGCGUGCCUAACACAUGCAAGUCGAACGAGGUAGCAAUACCUAGUGGCAGACGGGUGAGUAACGCGUGGUCAACCUACCGUUGAGUGGGGGAUAACUAGCCGAAAGGUUAGCUAAUACCGCAUACGAGUCUCGGGGGCAUCCCUGGGCCUUAAAAGGAGCAAUCCGCUCGAUGACGGGACCGCGUCCCAUUAGCUAGAUGGUGGGGUAAUGGCCUACCAUGGCACCGAUGGGUAGCUGGUUUGAGAGAGCGACCAGCCACACUGGGACUGAGAAACGGCCCAGACUCCUACGGGAGGCAGCAGUGAGGAAUUUUCCGCAAUGGGCGAAAAGCCUGACGGAGCGACGCCGCGUGUGGGAAGAAGGCCUUCGGGUCGUAAACGACUGUCGAAGGGGACGAUAAUGACGGUACCUUCGGAGGAAGCCCCGGGCUAACUACGUGCCAGCAGCCGC
rnacentral:rRNA from 1 species